ensembl:lncRNA
GCAGACUGCGAGUGAAAACCAGGGCAUGCUCUCGCACCACUGAUGCGGCACAAGCAGCGGAAACGGAUCAAGGGGGAGAAAGCUGAGGGUGAAUGGGACUCGGAGACGGACGUCUGCACCUGCUGUCUUCUUCCCAUGUUCAUUCUGCCCCUGCUAGUGGACUAUUGAAAAGACAGUCCUAACAAAGACUAGGAGACUGUGAAGACACAAGGAUCUCUUCCCAUCAGGGUUAACCUGAAGCCACCCUGGUAAUCACUCAAUCUUUAAACCAUUCAGGCAAAUUGUCAAUACUGUAUGUUCAGUGUGAUAAACGCAAACUUUGCGUCAUUGCUGUCCAGAUGUAAGUGCAACAAAAGUGCUUCGCUGCUGCGUACAACCCGGGGGAUUAGCGACCGGAAUAUUCAGCAACUGGCUGCAAAGAUCAACUGGAGUGCCAGGACUGAAAGGAAAGGGAACAAACACAAUGGGGGGAGCCCCCCUACCUCAGCCUCUCUUUUAUGCCUCUCCAUCCAGGACCCAUGGGCUCUCUGCCAACUUGGAAUCUUAAGAACUCAUUCAGCAAAAAAAAAGCCAAAGAAAGGGACUUGUUUAAACCCAGGACCCAUUCGCUCACAGUCUCUUGUUUUUCCUUUACAUUUCUCACAUGAAGAGGGAUUUCUGGCUACUGUUUUCUCUGACAUCUCAUCUGAGGGGGGUGUGGAGCUGGGCGGAAGGGUUCGUGGUGGGGGGGGGGGGGG